rnacentral:rRNA from 1 species
UACAGAGGUGGCAAGCGUUGUUCGGAAUUACUGGGCGUAAAGGGCGCGUAGGCGGUUCGUUAAGUCCUGUGUGAAAUCCCCCGGCUCAACUGGGGAACUGCACAGGAAACUAGCGGGCUUGAGUUCGGGAGAGGGAAGCGGAAUUCCGGGUGUAGCGGUGAAAUGCAUAGAUACCUUCUAGAACCCCGAUUGCGUAGGCAGCUGACUAGGCUACACCUGACACUGAGGCACGAAAGCGUGGGGAGCGAACAGG